UAGGGAAUCUUCUACAAUGGACGAAAGUCUGAUGGAGCAACGCCGCGUGAGUGAAGAAGGGUUUCGGCUCGUAAAACUCUGUUGUUAAAGAAGAACACGUAUGAGAGUAACUGUUCAUACGUUGACGGUAUUUAACCAGAAAGUCACGGCUAACUACGUGCCAG
rnacentral:rRNA from 1 species